UGGGGAAUAUUGCACAAUGGGCGCAAGCCUGAUGCAGCCAUGCCGCGUGUAUGAAGAAGGCCUUCGGGUUGUAAAGUACUUUCAGCGAGGAGGAAGGCGUUGUGGUUAAUAACCGCAGCGAUUGACGUUACUCGCAGAAGAAGCACCGGCUAACUCCGUGCCAGCAGCCGCGGUAAUACGGAGGGUGCAAGCGUUAAUCGGAAUUACUGGGCGUAAAGCGCACGCAGGCGGUCUGUCAAGUCGGAUGUGAAAUCCCCGGGCUCAACCUGGGAAAUGCAUCCGAAACUGGCAGGCUAGAGUCUUGUAGAGGGGGGUAGAAUUCCAGGUGUAGCGGUGAAAUGCGUAGAGAUCUGGAGGAAUACCGGUGGCGAAGGCGGCCCCCUGGACAAAGACUGACGCUCAGGUGCGAAAGCGUGGGGAGCAAACA
rnacentral:rRNA from 1 species